rnacentral:rRNA from 1 species
UAAGGAGGGUGCGAGCGUUAUCCGGAAUCACUGGGUUUAGAGGGUGCGUAGGCGGCUCGAUGAGUCAGUUGUGAAAGCCGCUUGCUUAACGAGGGAGGUGCGAUUGAUACUGUCGAGCUUGAAUCGGGAUGAGGCAGGCGGAAUGUGGCAUGUAGCGGUGGAAUGCAUAGAUAUGCCAUAGAAUACCGAUUGCGAAGGCAGCCUGCUGGGCCUGUAUUGACGCUGAGGCACGAAAGCGUGGGGAGCAAACAGG